CACGGUGGAUUUUAGGUUAGACAACCAACUUUCCCAAAGCGCGAGACGCAUCGGGGUUGCGCGCUUGAGACUGGAGCGUGCGCUAUGUGAGAUCAGAUUCCGGAAUUUGGCAGAAGGAGAGAUUUCAUCUGUUUUCUGGCUCACAUGGAGGGUGAGAACCAUCUACAGCACUGGAACACAUUCAGGUAAAAUCUGUUUUUUCU
rnacentral:lncRNA from 1 species